UUCGAGGUGGAUCCUGCUUUGUCGGCCUGCGAUUCUGGCUCUUAAAUCCUCGGCGCGGUGGCUAGUUUGCUGUGCGGUGUGGGUCCUCUCCGGCCACUGCGUUGGAGAGAGAGCCCGUUAUGAAUAUCACACCCCGUUCCUGGAACAGCACGAGGCACAGCACACGUUGGAAAUAUGCAUUUAGAUCUCGGGUCAGAACCCAGGAUGGGCCAUCCUGGAUCGGACAGUUGGUCCAGCAAAUCCAGUAUCAUGCCUCCAGCAGUAGCCAACACCUGAUGCUCCAAGGAAAGGUCAUUGAAAGAAGUGUUAAAUAGCUUCGGGUCAAGAACUCAGCCCUGUGGGACCCCACUGGAGACACACUCACUC